GACGAACGCUGGCGGCGUGCCUAAUACAUGCAAGUAGAACGCUGAAGGAGGAGCUUCCUCUUCUGGAUGAGUUGCGAACGGGUGAGUAACGCGUAGGUAACCUGCCUGGUAGCGGGGGAUAACUAUUGGAAACGAUAGCUAAUACCGCAUAAAAUUGAUUAUUGCAUGAUAGUCAAUUAAAAUUCGCAAUUUCAUCACUACCAUAUGGCCCUGCGUUGUAUUAGCUAGUUGGUGAGGUAACAGCACACCAAGGCAAAGAAACAUAGGCGACCUGAGAGGGGGGUCGGCCCCACUGGGAACGAGACAAGGCCCAGGACCCUAAGGGAGGCAGCAGGAGGGGAACUUCGGCAAUGGGCGGAAGGCUGAACGAGGACCGCCGCGGGAGUGAAGAAGGUUGUCGGAUCGGAAAGCCCCGUUGUAAGAGAAGAACGAGUGUGAGAGUGGAAAGUUCACAUUGUGACGGUACCUUAACAGAAAGCGACGGCUAACUUCGUG
rnacentral:rRNA from 1 species